rnacentral:lncRNA from 1 species
GUGGAGGUAGUAGGACCGCUUUUGCUGCUACUGGCUGCUGACAAAAUAAUCGAUGAAAGAUCGAUAUAGAUCCUCAAAGGAGUAGAUGAAAGUCGGCUUCAAACUGGAGUACCACUGUCGAGCCGUCCCUUUGAGAGUUAGAGGAAACGCUCGAUAAAAGAUCGCAUCAGAUGCUCCCUGAAGGAGCAUGAUCGCUUUGAAGAUUUUCAAGUGGUCGACGGGGUCAGCGAUCCCGUCAUAGACCUCAAGCUGAGGCAGUUUGAAGUACCGCGGGAGCGACUCCUGCACUAGCCUCGGGACAAAAGGUGGCUCAUUAUUGUACCCCUCAUAGGGCUGCGCC